rnacentral:lncRNA from 1 species
AGGAGUCAAGAUUCGCCUCAACAUUCUCGCGCUGGCGGUCAAGAUCGACGAUCAUCGAAUCUUUAAUUAAGACCUUAGCACGUUCAGCUGCUAAUUCCAGCUCUGCAGCCCCCAACUCUCCAUUGACUUUGGAGAUUUCCUGCUCCUUAUCUCUCAAGAGAUUCCUCUGAGCAGCCCAAUCCUCAGCCAACUUCUUAUUGGUGGCAGACAGAGUAGAGGCGUCUGAAGCUUUUUGCGCAACCUCGCCUUCCAGAUCUUUGCAACGGCGCUU